rnacentral:rRNA from 1 species
ACUUCGCAAGAACGGGAAGAAUAAGUAAGGGUUAAUAUCUCUUACGAUGACGGUACUGUUUGUAAGCUCCGGCUAACUCCGUGCCAGCAGCCGCGGUAAUACGGGGGGAGCAAGCGUUGUUCGGAUUUACUGGGCGUAAAGGGCGCGUAGGCGGCCACCGCAAGUCGACUGUGAAAUCUCCGGGCUUAACCCGGAAAGGUCAGCCGAUACUGCGGGGCUAGAGUGCAGAAGGGGCAACUGGAAUUCUCGGUGUAGCGGUGAAAUGCGUAGAUAUCGAGAGGAACACCUGCGGCGAAGGCGGGUUGCUGGGCUGACACUGACGCUGAGGCGCGAAAGCUAGGGGAGCGAACGGGAUUAGAUACCCCGGUAGUCCUAGCCUUAAACGAUGAAUGCUUGGUGUCUGGGGUUUUAUAGUCCCCGGGUGCCGUCGCUAACGCUUUAAGCAUUCCGCCUGGGGAGUACGGUCGCAAGACUGAAACUCAAAGGAAUUGACGGGGACCCGCACAAGCGGUGGAGCAUGUGGUUUAAUUCGACGCAACGCGAAGAACCUUACCUGGGCUAGAAUGCCUCUGACCGCCAUAGAGAUAUGGCUUCCUGGGUAAAACCAGGCAGAGUGCAAG